UAUGCAGGAUAUAUGAUGUGCAACCCCCGUGAAAGGGUCAUUCAACCCCCAAAGGCAUCACGAUCCACAGGUUGAGAACUGCUACUCUAGCGAUUACACUAGGAUGACUGUUUCAAAGGGCUAGCUGACCUUGGGGUUGGGAGACACUAAAUAUUACAGAGUUAUAUUACAGAAAAGGUACUGCAUUUGCUGCAAUGCUUUGGUCUGCCUUCAUUAUAGUUCAUCGUGCAGGCCUGAGGCCCCUCUGUGAGUUCAGCUGGACAAAGUAGCUGCGGUGCCCCAUGGGAGUAAGCAUGACUGAGCAGAUCUUUAUUUCUCAAGAUCAGAUGUCAUUUGAAGAUAGAAGAAAGUGAUUCUGAAAACCUUUUUCCAAAUAAAACAAGCUUGUGAGAUUUUUGCUGCCAACAAAUCUAUUCCACUAUUCUUGAUUUCAGUUCUUUUACCAUGAAGGAAAGAUUCUGGAUGAAACCCCUCUGAAAGCUGAGUGAGCAGCAUCAUCUCCUUCCACUGGAUCCUGUGGUGGACACAUGUGUAACUCAGUCUGUACCAUCUAGCCCAGUGGAUUUUAUCUUACUUUCUCUGGAAAGUAAAUAUCAUUCUUUUGCUAGGAUUGAGAUACAUCACCAGGAGCAAGAGGUGAGGAAGGCGCCUAGGGAAACAAUUUUUCUCCUGGGUCCUGAUCCUCCCUGUUUCAAGCCAUGCUCUUCACUCCCAUGUACAGCUCUGUCUGAUGCUGCCACUGUCUGCAUUCUUAAUGAUCCUUCAACAAAAAGCAAGACAGCUUUAAGUUUGACUUUCUUCAACUUGCUUGAUACUUUUUCUUGGUCACUUUUUUGGGGGGCUUC